GGGGGGGGGGGAGGGGGGCAGAGGGGCGGGGAGGGGGAGAAGGUGGGGGGCGGGAGUCUCCGGGCCUGAGCCGCCCGUAGGAGCGCACGCCGCAGCGCAGCCGGACGCUCCCCGGCAGCUGUUUAACGCGCGCCUCUAGGAGGAAAGUGGCUCCGCCAACCCGAGGGGCGUCCCUGCAGGCUAGUGAAACGUCCCGCGGCCAAGAGGACGCGGAGACACGGGGAGGCGGGCGCAGGCAGGCUGGUGGAGCACAACAAAGCAGAGGCGCGCGAGGGAGCUCGAGGUUGCCCGGCUGCCGGCGGCCGAGCGCCAGCGGGGCUGUGGCCAUCUCCACGCGCUCAGGACAUGGCAAGUUUGUCAACUCCCGCCUCUGUGUCCAGCGCCUAGCUGCCCACGAAGUGACAGCACGGCAGGGUCUGCCCCCAGAGGGACGGCGCCCGGCCCGUCCCCGGCCCGCUGCAAAAUGCUCCACUGCAGACCAGGUCGCCCUUCCUUUCCACCUUACCGGAUCCCAACGGCAGGGGGAGAAGUUCAGGGAGGUGGCGCCAGGUUACCGGCUCUCUUUUCCUGAAGGGAGAAGUUGGCUGUGGCCCGACUGCAGCGGGAAGUUACCCAGAGAAGGAAUGAGGGCGUCAUGGUAAGUGCUAUCUGGCUCCCGGAUCCUGAACCCGCCCUUCCAAGGCCCCUGGCGGGAA
rnacentral:lncRNA from 1 species